rnacentral:rRNA from 1 species
UACGGGGGGGGCAAGCGUUGUUCGGAAUUACUGGGCGUAAAGGGCGCGUAGGCGGCCUUCUAAGUCAGACGUGAAAUCCCUCGGCUCAACCGAGGAACUGCGUCUGAUACUGGAAGGCUUGAAUCCGGGAGAGGGAUGUGGAAUUCCAGGUGUAGCGGUGAAAUGCGUAGAUAUCGGGAGGAACACCUGCGGUGUAGACGGCUUACUGGACCGUAACUGACGCUGAGGCACGAAAGCGUGGGGAGCAAACAGG